rnacentral:rRNA from 1 species
CCUACGGGUGGCAGCAGUGGGGAAUAUUGGACAAUGGGCGAAAGCCUGAUCCAGCCAUGCCGCGUGUGUGAAGAAGGCCUUCGGGUUGUAAAGCACUUUCAGUGGGGAAGAAAGCCUUGGGGCUAAUACCCUCGAGGAAGGACAUCACCCACAGAAGAAGCACCGGCUAACUCCGUGCCAGCAGCCGCGGUAAUACGGAGGGUGCGAGCGUUAAUCGGAAUUACUGGGCGUAAAGCGCGCGUAGGCGGUCUGAUAAGCCGGUUGUGAAAGCCCCGGGCUCAACCUGGGAACGGCAUCCGGAACUGUCAGGCUAGAGUGCAGGAGAGGAAGGUAGAAUUCCCGGUGUAGCGGUGAAAUGAGUAGAGAUCGGGAGGAAUACCAGUGGCGAAGGCGGCCUUCUGGACUGACACUGACGCUGAGGUGCGAAAGCGUGGGUAGCAAACAGGAUUAGAUACCCUGGUAGUC